CCUUGCAGGGAGAAGGAAAUGUGUUCGUCACAUUUGUUACCAUCGUUACAGAAGAUGCAGAUUUUUAUUCUGGGGAUGCUACUACUACACUAGAAGCUACUACUGCAAUUCCUGCUCUGUCAGAUAUUUCUGGAGGAAUUA